GACGAACGCUGGCGGCGUGCUUAACACAUGCAAGUCGAACGAAGAGCGAUGGAAGCUUGCUUCUAUCAAUCUUAGUGGCGAACGGGUGAGUAACGCGUAAUCAACCUGCCCUUCAGAGGGGGACAACAGUUGGAAACGACUGCUAAUACCGCAUACGAUCUAAUCUCGGCAUCGAGGAUAGAUGAAAGGUGGCCUCUACAUGUAAGCUAUCACUGAAGGAGGGGAUUGCGUCUGAUUAGCUAGCUGGAGGGGUAACGGCCCACCAAGGCGAUGAUCAGUAGCCGGUCUGAGAGGAUGAACGGCCACAUUGGGACUGAGACACGGCCCAGACUCCUACGGGAGGCAGCAGUGGGGAAUCUUCCGCAAUGGACGAAAGUCUGACGGAGCAACGCCGCGUGAGUGAUGACGGCCUUCGGGUUGUAAAGCUCUGUUAAUCGGGACGAAAGGCCUUCUUGCGAAUAGUGAGAAGGAUUGACGGUACCGGAAGAGAAAGCCACGGCUAACUACGUG
rnacentral:rRNA from 1 species